UCUAUAUUUUGUAUUGGAAUCUUUCUUCUAUAUGUCUUCUAAUAUCUGGUGACCCUUGGUGGUCUCUUGAUUUAAGAAUGAGGCAAUAAAAAGUCCAUUGCAACCUCUGUGCAUGGCAGGUUGAUUAGGCAGGGCUCUCUUCCUCUUUCCCAAAAUGCUUUUCUCUUGGGAAGCCAGCAGCUCCAAUAACAAAUAUUCUAAUCUCCUCCCUGAAGAUGGUGUACUGUAAGUCUGUCAGCUAGUGUCUAAAGCCAAUGGUAUAAAAAGGCUGGAGACCUCAUUGUUCAAUAUGUAGACUGUCACUGAAUGCCCAAUAGUUGCAGGGUCCAGAGUUGUUCGGGUUCAAUCUCUCCAGAUAGAAGCAUUUCUUUUUUCUGCAAGAAUGGGUCUAUCUAUCAGUCAGGUUAAUUAAAGAACACAGAAACCAAUGUAGAUUUUUUUUUUUUUAGCAGAGAAAGAUUUAAUUCAAGUAAUUAGGAAUUUCCAAAUUUAUUGGAAGGGCUUGAGAAGAAGGCUACACCAGUUCACAGUAUACAACAGUGAACAAAACAGACCAAAACAACUCUUAGUUCAUGGAGUUUACAUUCUAGUGUAGAAAGAGAAGCAAUAAACACAAUAAAAAAGCAAAAUUUGUUAUAUGUUAAAUUUUACAUACUUUAUGAUAAGUGCUAUAGAGAGAAAUAAAGCAGGGAAGCCGGAUAGGAUUUCUGGGACCAUUUAAAAUAGAGUGGUGAAGGAAGGCCUCACUGAUAAGGUGACAUUUGAGUAAAAUCCUAAAGAAAGCAAGGAAGCAGGCCAUAGAGAUAUUUGGUGGAAGGGCAUCUUAGGUAAAGGGAACAACAGAUGCAAGGGCCCUGAAGUGGGAGCAUAAAUUAUGUAUUUAAGAAACAGCAAGGAAGCUACUGUGGCUAAAGCUGAAUGAGAAAAGUGAGGGUCAUAAGAGAUGAGAUCUGAGCAGUAAGAUGGGGAGUGUGUGUGUGUGUGUGUGUGUGUGUGUGUGUGUGUGUGUUUGCAUGUGUGCAAAAUGUAAGGCAUUGUGGACCAUUAUAAUGAUUUUUUUCUCUUGGUGAGGUGAUAUUUUUCCAUUUGAGGAAAGGAAAAUUUGGACAAAGGAAUAACACAGUCUUACUGUUUUAAAAGGCGCACUCUUGGGGACAAGAGCAGGAGUAAACUGAGUGGCUUUCAGAAUAACCUGGACAAGAGAUGAUAGUGGCUUGGACUAUGAUAGUGAUGCAGGUGGUAAAAAGUGAUUAGAGAUAAUUAAAAGAUAACCCAUGAGUAAUUAUGACCCAACUAAGCUUGGGUAACAUUCAUUGGGUAGUUAUUGAUUAACUUUUGUUUUCCUACUCUAGAGGAACUUUCUCUAGUAAUGCCUAGGAGCUGAGGCUGUGAUGGAGAAUGCAAAGGUGACCACCCCAUUGGUGGGGAUUGGUAUGGCUGUAACAGUAAGUGGGCAAAGAUGAUCAUGGCUUGGGCCAAGGUGGUACUAGUAAAGGUGGUGAGAAGUUUCCAGACUCUGGAUUUAUUUUGAAAAUAAAACCAAGAUUUGUUGAUAAAUUGGGCAUGGAAUGCAAGCAAAAGUGAGAAAUCAGUGUGACUGUAGUUUUUUGUCCCCUUUUUUUUUGUUAUUGUUGGAGUUUACAUUAGUGAUAAUGACAAGACUUCAAGAAGAACAGAUUUUGUGGGAAAUAUCAGGAGCUCAUUUUGAACCUGCUGAGUUCGAGAUGCCUUUGAUACAUCUAAAUGUAGAUGCCAAGUUGGCAACUGGAUAUAUGAGCAUAGAGCUCAGGAGAGUUUAAAGAAAAUUUUAUUAGUUAACAUUGUUGAGGUAACUAACAAGCACCAAAUCUCAGUGGAUUACAGCAACAAACGUUCAUUUCCUGCUCUUGCUACAUAUGGGCUACAGAUUGAUUACAGCUCUGCUCUAGGUUGUGGGCCAGCAAAUAGGUCGGAUUCAAGUGUCUUCUAAUCUUGUGCCUAGGCUAAAAGAACAGCCCCUGUCUGUGCUAUACUCGUGGCAAAGGGCAGAAGCAAGAGAGACCAAACUAAUCCAUUCAAUCCAGUUUAAAGAUUCUCCUUGCAUAUGGUGUACACCACGUAUUUCCAUUCUAUUCCAUUCCACCAGCCAAAAAAAGUCACAUAACUCAGCCCUGCAAUGUGGCAAAAAAUGUAUACUCUGCUCAGCAGAGGCAUUUAAAGACAAAUCCAAAGGGUGCGGAUGUAUAAUAGUCAUAGAAGGGAGAAAGCAAGUAGUUGUAAACCAUAAUUUAAUCUACCACAAAGUGAGUAUAGAUAGUGAAGAGAAGAAAUCCAAAGCCUGAGAUAUUUCAAUAUUCAGAGGUCAGGGAAAUAAGGAGAAACCAACAAAGGAGACUGAGAAGGAAGAGAUAGUAAGGUAGGGAGAAACAUUGGAAGUCAAGAAAAGAAAGUGUCUCCAGAAGAAAGGAGGGAUCAGCUGUGUCCCAUACUGCUCAUAGGUCAAGCAAGAUGUGGGCUGACAUUGACCAUUACAUUUAGCAAUGUGGAAAUAUUGAGUGAUAGUGAUGACAGAGUUAAUGGCAUGGUGGGGGAUGCUAUGGUUUGAAUGUCUGUCCCCUCCCACACAAGUUGAAGUUUAAUUGCUAUUGUGACAGUAUUAAAAGGUGGGAUAUUUAAGAGGUAAUUAGGUCAUGAGCACUCUACCCUCAUGAAUGGAUUAAUGCCAUUAUCUCAGAAAUAGAGUUGUUAUCGUUGGAGUAGAAUCCUUAUAAAAGGAUGAGUUCAGCUCUGUUUUGUCUCUCUCACCCUCUCUUUGCCCUUCUGCCAUGGGAUGCUGUCCACCAUGGGAUGAUGCAGCAAGAAGGCCCUGGCAAGAUGCACUUUUCAAUCUUGGACUUCCCAGCCUCCAGAAGUGUGAGCCAAUAAAUCUCUGAGGGUUCUGUUCUAUGUCAUUUCCUUUGAAGUCAGUGGGAACUCUGUGCAGGACGGCAACAUGAACACCGGCCUCUAUACAUGAAGGCCAUCAAGUGGUUAACAUAUAGACAGUAUUUAAAUCCUUGGGACUGGAUGAGAUUACCAAGGGAGGAAAUGUAGAUGAAGGAGAAGAGAAAGGAUGGAGUUCUGGAGCACUACAAAUUUAAGAGACUGGGGAGAAGAGGAGAAACCCAGAAAAUCUACCUUGGAGAUCACUGCGUAAUACUACACUGGGAGCAGUAUCAUUCUUUGAAAUAAUAAUUAUAAUGUGAAAUACUUCCUGCCUCAGUGAAAUCCGGCUCCCAGUGAAUUUCUUUGGUUUAGAGAGCAACUUGAGGAUUUUGCAUUUGGCACCAUUCAAUUUCCUUGGCAUCUCUCCAUAGUCACCAUUUAGAAGGCUCCUGGUCAGUAGGAUUUCUCUCCCUCUUACACUCUGUAGAGAUUAAAAAAGGAUUGUAUUACAGGGGCUUGGAAAUGUGAUGGAAAAUGAAAUUUGCUUUAGCAAAAAUGGAAGCUUUUGAAACUCAAGUUGUUCUAACAGGACCCUUAGACAAGAAUAGUUUUUAGGGGAGCAAAAUGGCAGAUACGGUUUAAGUUCCUUAUUUAGAUUGCCACUAAGAAAUAUUAUGAUGUGUAA
rnacentral:lncRNA from 1 species